AAGGGUAGAUACAACAAUACAUACAUACAUACGUAUAGACUGAAAUAAAGUAAGCCAUAAGAGAGUUUUUUAUAAGGAAAAAGGCCAUUGUUAAAUUGGAGAAGACGCAGAGAUAGAGAGAGAAAAGAUAUAUACACACAUAUACAUAUAUAUGUAUAAAUAGAAAGAGUUUGAGAAAACCAAUCCCUCAACUAUAUAUCACUUGAUUGGGCAACACCACCAAACAUUCAAAAGCCCCAUAUCCCUAUCUUCUUCAAAUCCUCUCUCUCUGUUCCUUCCAAUCUGCAGCAGCAGCAGCAUUCACUCCACCAACAAGCAGAAGAGGAAGAAGAAGAAGAAAUCAAUAAGCAAAUUGUGUCUGUGUAUGUGUGUGUGUGUGUGAGAAAAUAUAUAUAUAUAGAUUUGAAGAGGCCAUAGAUCGAUUGAUUCUACUUUGGGGCAGGCCGGGAGAAAAACUGGCCUCGUCUAUGCAGAAUUGGGCAGGCUAGCUAGAGUGGGGAUGGAUUUCUGGAUUGAAUUGAAUUAGAUCGGCAGAGAGUCGAGAGGUCUCUCCAUUUCCAGAUUUUGAAAUUGGGAAUCACGAAAUUAGGGCUUUUUUUGUGCUAAGCUAGGGGAGUAGCUUAUUGAUGCUCUUUCAAUAGGCAGCAAACAGUUUGGGGGAUCAACUGACCAUUAUUUUAUAGAGGAAUAUACAAAUAUAUGUAUGUAUGUAUUUGUAUGUAUAUUUGUGUGUGUAAUUGUUUCUGCUGCCCACCAACUGUUCGAUUAAAGUGGGGAUGAAUUAUAUCUACCUUCCUGUUUGGUGAUGAGACUACUGAUCAGAAUUGGGGAGAGAAGAAAUAUUUUAUAAUCAAUCGCUCCUGCUUCCUGCUUUAUUCCCCUUUUUUGGGUGGUGCUGUUGGAUUUGUACUGUUCGUUGUUGCGCCGGAAUGUGGGAUCUGAAUGAUUCGCCGGAGGAGAGGAUGAUGGAGGAUGAAUCGGAGGAGUUUUCCGACGACAAAGGCAAGCGCGUCGGAUCCGCCUCCAAUUCCAGCUCUUCCGCCGUGGUUUUCGAGGAUGUUUCCGAGGAAGACGACGACGGAGAAAGGACAGCCGCAAGGAAGAGCGGCGGCGGCGCCGCCGUCCCCGGACAUGCCUUUGGAGUUUCGGUAGCUACUGAUGGCGACACGUGUCCUUCCUUAGCUCCGGUGACGCGGCAGUUUUUUCCGGUGGACGAUUCGGAAAUGUCCGCCGGACUUCCGAAUUUCCCCAGAGCUCACUGGUUCGGAGUCCAAUUCCGCCACUCCGAUCCCGACGGCGGCGGAACUGGUGGAUUGGUGAAGGCGCUGGGCGGCGGCGGCGAAGUGGCGCAGCCGCUUAAAAAGAGCCGGCGUGGACCGAGGUCCCGGAGCUCGCAGUACCGAGGAGUCACGUUUUACCGGCGGACUGGCCGUUGGGAAUCGCACAUAUGGGACUGCGGAAAGCAAGUCUACUUAGGAGGAUUCGACACAGCUCACGCCGCCGCACGUGCAUACGAUAGAGCCGCCAUUAAAUUCCGCGGAGUCGAAGCGGACAUAAACUUCAGCCUCGAGGAUUACAAAGAAGACAUGAAACAGAUGAGGAAUCUUACGAAGGAGGAAUUCGUGCACGUCCUGCGUCGCCAAAGCACAGGAUUCCCGAGGGGAAGUUCCAAGUAUAGAGGCGUAACUUUGCACAAAUGUGGGCGAUGGGAGGCUCGAAUGGGCCAAUUUUUGGGGAAAAAGUAUGUUUAUUUGGGUCUUUUCGAUACCGAAAUUGAAGCUGCCAGGGCUUAUGACAAAGCCGCCAUCAAAUGCAAUGGAAAGGAAGCUGUUACCAAUUUCGAUCCCACCAUUUAUGACGAAGAACUCAAAGCAGCAGCAGAGAGUUCCAACAAUUCAUCAUCAGAUCACAAUCUGGAUUUGAGCUUAGGUUCCAUCUCUGCAUCCAAAACCACUGAUCUUCGAGGCCCCCAUUCUUCGUCGGCGCAAUUCGAAUUCGAUUGGAGACGAUCAAUGAGGCCUCCUGAGGUGAUGAACUUCCAGCAAAUGGACAUGGCUGCUUCUGAUCACAAUAAUCAUCUUCCAAGAAAUGGACAUGAAAAGGAAACCUUACAGCUCUUAAACCAAACCCAACCACCCCAGAUGAUAAUCUCUCCAGGCUAUCAUCAUCAUCAUCAUCAGAUUCUUCAUCUUCCUCCUCAUCCCCAGCAGCAUCAAACGCCAUUAAUGACGACAGCAGCAGCUGCAGCAUCAUCGGGAUUCCCGCAAGCACAAUUACUCAGCUGGAUGCACAAGAACGACAUCCACCACCCACCCAUCAGACCCUCAUGAUCCACGCUUCAUUCCAGCCGUCCAUCUCUUUUCUGCCAUUGAUCUCCAUCCUCCGAUCCGCCUUUCUCUCAUGACCAAAAAAGCAAGCAGACAGACGUAUGGCUAUUAUUAUGAGAAGGACUUAACCUAACUCUUACUAAAGCUUCAACACAGUACUCUGAACCAAAAAUAUAAAAUAAAUAACACACACCCCCCAAAAAGUGAAUCCCACCCCACUUCUUUUGUCCCUGUACUUCUUCUUUUGCAUGUCCUGUUUUCCUCCUCCUCAGCUCCUGGGACCUCCGCUCCUCUUCAAUCCCCACCGUUUAUUGCACCCCGGACUCCGACUCCCGGGACUCCCUGUCAAUAUGUGGCGUGUUUGUGGAUAUCCAGCAUCACAAGCAAGUUUCUUCGCUCGCUCUUCGUUUCUUUAAGUUGAUAUUCUUCCCUCAUUAUUAUUUUUAUUUUUUAUUUAAUUACAUUAUUAAAUUCGUCGAAAGUUGCUACCAUGCCCCAACUAUGUGAUUAAAGUAUUAAUAGAAACGGAGAUAUUUUCACAAGUUGGGGGUGGGUGCAUAGUAAUAAUAUUAUUAUUAUUCUUAUUAAUUAAUAUUAUUAUGGGAAUAUUUGACAAUUGCAUCAUCUGUGACAUCACCAUCGAUUAUAGUAUAAUAAUAUAUAUAUAUUUAAAAAUAUGUGUACAGUGGCUGUUUCCAGUCCUUUCCUUUUAUAUAGUAAUAAUAUUAUUAUUAUUAUAAGUUGGCUUCGUGAUCUCGUAUCAUUUUUAAUGUUUG